GCGGAAAGGACUUCUAGGUGUUGAGAACUCUUGGGAACUAGCUGACAAGAUGAGAAAAGAGUUUCCCAGAUUCCUCCUUGAGGUCAAGGAGAAUUUUGAAGGGGAGGUAUUGAUAGUUAUGACAGAUUUUAUAAAAGGAAAUGUGGGCAGAAGGAUACAACUAAUCAUUCCCUUAUAGGAAUGUUUCCUUAUUCAGCGAGGGAAGAGAAAGUAAAUCUAGAUCUGAUUGAUUAAAUAGGAGAAUCUUUCCCU
rnacentral:lncRNA from 1 species